GUCUCCUAGGCGACAGGUAAUGUUAGAGCUAAUCAAUGCUUCAAGUUUGAAAACACUUAACGUCUUAUGGUGCAUGUGAAACAAGGAAUUUGCUCUGCUGCUUAACGGCCAGUCAAUCGAGUUGGUCAUUCAGUUCAGAAGCCGCUAACCAACCCCGGGACACCGCCGCUACCUUAGCAGGCCGAAAUGAAAAAGAUCAUGAAGAUGCCAUCGCACAUACGGAUGGUUAUGCUGCUGUCCAUUGUGUCUGUUCACGUCCUGGGAGACGCCGUUUGUCCGUCUCGUCUCUACCUGAUCCUCUUCAGUGGAGGACAGAAACUCUCCGCUCCAUAUGUGCUGUUCAACACCACCAACGCUUUACAUUGCUCAUCCACCUGCAACACAAAUCCAAGCUGUUGGGUCUACACCUGGGACACGGAGACAAAAGAAUGCGGCCUCCUGCAGAGUCUAUCUUGGCCAAUCACCACCGUAGCAGCUCCUCCUUCGUUACGCACUUACUACGUCAGGGGUACGAAUGGCAUGGUGCUGGACAGGACGAGUAUUAAAGGUUACUGGUCCAUCGUGAAGACAGAGUGUGAGGAGAUGGGAGGACGUCUGCAUAUGCCCCUUGACAGCAACUAUUGCCGAUUAAUACAUUAUCUGCUGGGCGAGGAUAAGCUCUGGGUAGGCAUGAGUCGCAAACCGACCGAUGAUAUGUACACUUGGUUUGACAUGGAUGGAAAUCCCGCCGUGACAAAGAUGGGAUGGAGGCCCAGGCAACCAAAUAAUAACAAUGGUAAUCAAUUGUACAUGUCCACUGUGAAUGGUACAAUGAAUGAUGAAGACUUGAUUUUUCAAUAUUACGGCAUUUGCGAUGUUCCACGAUGUGUUAACUGGCUGUGCUGAUCGUCUAGAUGUUUGGAGGCUUGCCACUUAAAUUGGACAUUCCAGUAAAUCAUUUUUGCUUGAUGGUAUAGGUAAAAAACUUCUUUUUUUUUAGUGGGUACUUUCACAAAAAGCACUCAUUGUUGCAUGUUGGUAGAUUUUGAAAGCAAACUUGAAAUUGGACAUUCCAGUAAAUCAUUUUUGCUUGAUGGUAUAGGUAAAAAAAAACUUAUUCAUUGUAGUGGGUACUUUCACAAAAAGCACUCAAUGUUGAAUGAUGGUAGAUUUUGUAUGCAAAAUUGCACUGUCAGCAGUGUAAUAUAGCAAAGCUGUUAAUAUGAUCUGAUGUUUACCUUAUGGUUUGGUCUUUUCUUCGACUAACUGGCAGUUUGUUAGGCUAAUGCAGGCAGGUCAAGAGGAACGAAUGAAAAAAUACCCUUAAGACUAGAAAUUGAGUUGUAAUCCUUUACCUCAGAGGGAUAAUACUCACACAGGCUACACUUAUACAACAGAGGAAGGUUUACAUAGUUCUUUGACCACCAUCCCUGCAACUGUUAGUUUCUGGUUGGUAGUUGGUAGUAGGUUCUGUGAGUAGUGGUUGCACGUUGUGAACUGGUGUGUGAAAAUUGGUUAAAUAUUGCACUCUGAGUUUUAUUAUAGCAAUAUCAACUGCCUCUAAUGGACUCUAGGAAUUCACCAUACUACUUUUAAGAGGUUAAGACACAAUAUAGAUUUUAUAAUAAUUUUAGGGAAAGUUAUAAUAAUUUAGACUCCAUUUUCUAUUUCUGAAGUGUGUUUCCCCAAAUGUUUAUAAAUUUAGAGAGCUAUUAAGAUUUACUUUUGGUGGCCUACUCACUGUGUACUUACAUGCACAUAAAGUGAAAGGGUGAGAUGUUUAAAACAAACUGAAGACCACAAUUAUGUAAAUUAGUAAGGUUGAAUUAAGUACUGGUCAGCUAUUUCUGUAUAAGUAGUUCUUGAUGCAAAAUAUUCCUUAUUAUUACGAAGACCAAUAAAGACUCAUUUACUUUUUCCCUGUUUUUUAGAUCCUAAUCCCUAGACCUGUUGAUGAAAUAUAUAAAACCAUCCAAGGAUGGUCAUGCUCACGAAUGGUACUAAAUGCAUGUAUGUUACGCCAACUGUAUGUCUGUAAGUGUAGUACAUGUAGUUGCUGUAAUCCAACUUAUAUUGGAAAAUCAAUUAUAACAAACAGGCCACUUAACAAACAAGCAUUUAGUGCCAUUCUUGAGCAUUAACAUCGGCACGACCAUCUUCUGAGGAUGGAUUCUUUUUCUAUAUUAGCCAGUCGGUCUAGUGAUGUGGAGCUAACCACAAUUGCUUUGUUUUUAUUACUGUGCCUAUCUUACGUAAUUAUCUUUGAAUUUGCCCUUUUUUCUCCUCUCUUGACUCGCUUUUGUAGUUUAAACUGUA